AACGCGAAGAACCUUACCAAGGCUUGACAUAUAGCGAAAAGUGGCAGAGAUGUCAUGUCCGCAAGGGCGCUAUACAGGUGGUGCAUGGUUGUCGUCAGCUCGUGUCGUGAGAUGUUGGGUUAAGUCCCGCAACGAGCGCAACCCUCGUUCUGUGUUGCCAGCAUUUAGUUGGGGACUCACAGGAGACUGCCGGGGUCAACUCGGAGGAAGGUGGGGAUGACGUCAAAUCAUCAUGCCCCUUAUGUCUUGGGCUGCACGCAUGCUACAAUGGCCGGUACAAAGGGCUGCGAAACCGCAAGGUGGAGCGAAUCCCAUAAAGCCGGUCUCAGUUCGGAUUGGGGUCUGCAACUCGACCCCAUGAAGUUGGAGUUGCUAGUAAUCGUAGAUCAGCAACGCUACGGUGAAUACGUUCCCGGGUCUUGUACACACCG
rnacentral:rRNA from 1 species